AAGACUAUAUUUUCAAGAAUCAUUUCUAUAGUUCAUUACUUGGAAAUGUGUUUCGAAAGUGUUUAUCUCCCAACCCACGAUGAUGAGCUGUGAUGCUUUUUUCUGAGAAUGAAUUAAAGACAGAGCCGUGGUUUAGGAUGCAAACUCUGUCAUUGAUGAGUGUUCUCUAUUGCUUUUGGCAAUAUUGAGGAAAGGGGUUCUGAUUUUGGU
rnacentral:snoRNA from 1 species